GGCAGCCCAGCCCCACUGUGGGCUCAGGGGCUGUGAGCACCAUGGCCUGGACCCCUCUCCUCCUCGUGCUCCUCUCUCACUGCACAGAUUCCCUCUCCCAGCCUGUGCUGACUCAGCCACCCUCCCUCUCUGCAUCUCUUGGAGCCACAGCCAGACUCACCUGCACCUUCAGCAGUGGCUUCAGUGUUAGCAGGUAUGGUGUAUUCUGGUACCAGCAGAAGUCAGGGAGCCCUCCCCGGUACCUCCUGUACUACCACACAGACUCAGACAAGCGCCAGGGCUCCGGGGUCCCCAGCCGCUUCUCUGGAUCCAAAGACACCUCGACUAACUCCGGUGUUCUGCACAUCACUGGGCUACAGCCCGAGGAUGAGGCUGACUAUUACUGUGAUACAUGGGAUGGCAACACCAAGAAUAGCACAGUGUUUGAGAUACAGCAGGAAGUGAGACAGAAACCUCCUCUCUGCUCCCCAGUCCUGGUGCAGCUGCCCAGGCAGGUGGCUCUGACUGAUUCCAGCUCAGCACUGACUGUGCCGUCAGAUCUUCCCUGAGUUUCCUCAGACCAG